CGGGACGGGUGAGUAAUGUCUGGGAAACUGCCUGAUGGAGGGGGAUAACUGCUGGAAACGGUAGCUAAUACCGCAUAACGUCGCAAGACCAAAGAGGGGGACCUUCGGGCCUCUUGCCAUCGGAUGUGCCCAGAUGGGAUUAGCUAGUAGGUGGGGUAACGGCUCACCUAGGCGACGAUCCCUAGCUGGUCUGAGAGGAUGACCAGCCACACUGGAACUGAGACACGGUCCAG
rnacentral:rRNA from 1 species